rnacentral:rRNA from 1 species
UAGAUAAGCUGUCUUGCGGCGAAGAUGUAACGGGGCUCAAGCCAUGAGCCGAAGCUUAGGAUGCCGUAAGGCAUGGUAGCGGAGCGUAGUGUGACAUAGUUCCUAUCCUCUUUAGUGCCUUCGGGCACCAUGGAGGAUAUUUGGAGCUUUCGAUGAAGCGGGCGCGUGAGCGAUCCCGUGGAGAGAUCACUAGUGAGAAUGAUGACAUGAGUAGCGACAAAGAGUGUGAGAGACACUCUCGCCGAAAGUCCAAGGGUUCCUGCUUAAAGCUAAUCUGAGCAGGGUAAGCCGACCCCUAAGGCGAGGCCGAAAGGCGUAGUCGAUGGGAACCAGGUUAAUAUUCCUGGGCCAGAUGGAAGUGACGGAUCGUGACGGUUGUUCCUCCUUAUCGGAUUGGAGGGGCCGCUAAUCGGUUCCUGGAAAUAGCUCCAUCAUGAGAUCGUACCCUAAACCGACACAGGUGGACUGGUAGAGAAUACCAAGGCGCUUGAGAGAACGAUGUUGAAGGAACUCGGCAAAAUACCUCCGUAAGUUCGCGAGAAGGAGGCCCAGUUUCUACGCAAGUAUUGGCUGGGGGCACAAACCAGGGGGUGGCGACUGUUUACUAAAAACACAGGGCUCUGCGAAGUCGCAAGACGACGUAUAGGGUCUGACGCCUGCCCGGUGCCGGAAGGUUAAGGGAGGCGCUAAUCUUCGGAGAAGGCGUUGACUGAAGCCCCGGUAAACGGCGGCCGUAACUAUAACGGUCCUAAGGUAGCGAAAUUCCUUGUCGGGUAAGUUCCGACCUGCACGAAUGGCGUAACGACUUCCCCACUGUCUCCAACAUCGACUCAGCGAAAUUGAAUUGCCUGUCAAGAUGCAGGCUUCCCGCGGUUAGACGGAAAGACCCCGUGCACCUUUACUACAGCUUCACACUGGCAUUAGGCCGAACAUGUGCAGGAUAGGUGGUAGGCUUUGAAGCAGGGACGCCAGUCCCUGUGGAGCCUCCCUUGAGAUACCACCCUUGUUCUGCUUGAUGUCUAACCGCGGCCCGUUAUCCGGGUCCGGGACCCUGCGUGGUGGGUAGUUUGACUGGGGCGGUCGCCUCCUAAAGAGUAACGGAGGUGUACAAAAGGUAUGCUCAAAUUGAAAUUAGCAUCAAUUGUAGAGCGCAAUGGUAAAAGCAUGCUUGACUAUAAGACAGACAUGUCAAAUAGAAACGAAAGUUAGUCAUAGUGAUCCGGUAAUUUUGUGUGGAAAAAUUAUCGCUCAACGGAUAAAAGGUACGCCAGGGAUAACAGGCUUAUGAUUCUUAAGAGCUCUUAUCGAUGGAAUCGUUUGGCACCUCGGUGUCGGCUCAUCACAUCCUGGAGCUGUAGAAGGUUCCAAGGGUUCGGCUGUUCGCCGAUUAAAGUGGUACGUGAGUUGGGUUUAGACCGUCGUGAGACAGGUCGGCUCCUAUCUGCCAUAAGUGUAAGAAAAUUGAAAGAAACUGACCUUAGUACGAGAGGAUUGGGAAAGGGUAACCUCUGAUGUAUCGGUUGUUUAUACUAAAAGCAUUGCCGAGUAGUUACGUUAAAUUGAAAGAAUUGCUGAAAACAUAUAAGCAAGAAAUUAAUCUUAAAACAAAUUUUCUCAUAAGAAAAGUAAAAGAUGAUUACUUUGAUAGGUUUAGUGUGUUCUGAUUGAAAAAUCAAAAGCAUUUAAAUACUAAUAAAUCUAAUUUUUUUUUUAA